AUCACCUCCUCAGAAAACACAACUGUCAUGCAUCAACUAAUCACCUCUCCAGGAUAUCUACCCUGGCAUUCUCCUACUCUUUGCCAGACUGUUGUUUCUGCCAGUGUGGAUCCUCGCCAGUUUGCCUGCCUGCGUGUUUAUUCUCCCUCAUUACCUCCGUCAGCUGCGCCACCUCGCCAUCUCCGUUCCUCCUUGUCAGCCAACUCCAGUCAUCUCAACAUAUUUUGAAGAACAAUAAAUCUGUGAAACAUCA